rnacentral:lncRNA from 1 species
CACUAGGGGGCUGCUUGUAGGGGGAUGGAAAAAACGGAGGCUUAAAAAAAUCAUGCUGCUGAAAUUUCAGCAAGAGGGGAAAAGAGAGAGCGCGUGAGAGAGAGAGAGAGAGAGAGAGAGAGAGAGAGAGAGAGACAGCAAAGCAGUCCCAGGCUUCCUCCUCUCUUUCACGUCAGAGGCAGGAACCGACUGUGCUAAGGCUGUUGGCUCAACACCCAGAGGAGACGGGCAGACCCAGGGAGAGUGAGAGAAGGGGGUCCUCUCUGACCCAAGGAAUUACCACUAGUGGAGUGAAGCCACCUGACUUUUUGAUCUUAUUUUGGUUGCCUCCUCAUUCUCCUUCCACCCGUAGCCCUGACAGCUUGGGUUUCAUUUCUUUCGUGGAGCCUUGUCUCUUCCUCCCAGAAUAGGAGGAAGGGAAGAGAAGGGAAAGAGGAGGGCUCUCUAGGUGAGCGCAUCAGCUGGCUCCAGCCUGAGCAAGCAAGAAUUUUCUUCCCAGGAAGCUCCUCUCGCUCCCCGGCCGCCCACCCCCAGCCUGGGUGGCUGUAUCGUUUUAACUGCAUAGAGGGCAGGUCUCUUUUGGAAUUAGGAUUAAAGAAAGUGCAGUAAAGAGAAAGCAUCGAAGACACCAUCACAAAAGAUUCCCACAACUCCAUGCUGUGUGCUGCAGGCUGGUCCUGAACCCAGAUCUCUGGCUGAGAGGAUGGGG